GUGAGGGGGAGUGUUGAGAAAACUUCGUUAGGAGUUAGGACUAUAUUCUCCAUCAUCCACUUCCCUCAGUUCUCCCCGUGUUCUAUUCUCUCUCUUGUUACACUACAAUAAAACGCUAAAAACUAUGGUGUAUCUCGCCGGGUACAGCACGGUCAUAGGAUUCCAUCACCGGAGCCCAAUUUCUUUGAUAUCGAUAACACAAAACGGCGCCACUAUAACGCCCUACGACGUCGUAUUUCUGUGUCGUUGUUGCAGAUACCAUCGGUUCAGUAGUGCAUCUGAAUCUUCUUGGGAAGAAUUCCCCGCGGAGAACGCGUACGAGCUGCUAGGAGUGUCGGAGACCAGCUCCUUCGCUGAGAUCAAAGCGUCGUUUCACAAAUUAGCGAAAGAGACUCACCCGGACCUUGCUGAGUCAAGGAACGAUUCCGCUGAGUCUCGCCGAUUCGUGCAAAUCCUGGCUGCAUAUGAGAUUCUUUCAGAUUCUCGGAAGAGAACCCAUUAUGACAUGUAUUUGUUGUCCCAGAGAAGGCUCAUACAGAGGCAUUCCCAACAGGGUUCAAAAUUGCACAUUUACAAAUCCCAUGCUAAUACUUUCAAGGAGAUGGAAGUUGUUGAAUGGUUGAAGUGGUACAGAUUAACUAUAAAUGAUAUUUUGUCAGAGAAGAAGGUGGCUGUUGGAACAGGCUACUUUGAUGUGCUUGAGAGAGAUUUCUAUUCAGCUAUUCAUGCAGCAUAUUAUGGUCCUGAAAUUGAUUCUAUGCCUAUGGAGCUUUUUCCUGACUGCUUUGAGGCUGAGGAAAGGUCCUCUCAUGAAACUCCUGAGGUUUUGCACUUGGUUUCCGGCCGGGAUCUUUUCGGGAUGGUUUGCCUAGUUGAGAAGAUUCCGGAGAUAUCAUCUACGAAAAAUGAGAAGUUAAUUUCUUUCAGAUCCUUAGAUUCUGACCUGUGCCAAUCUACGAUGAAGAAAUUUCACAUCAAUGCAGAAAGGCAAGAGGAUUUUGGGACACAUCGAAUUCAAACUUCUAACAUUUCAAAUAGUGUAUCGGAUGCAUAUAGAGAUCUAGAAUUGCACGUCUCCGGCAGAGUGAUUGCUACAGCAACCCGGGACCUACCUAGAUGUUAUUCUGGUGGGUUGCAGAAAGAUGUUGAAGAUCACAUUCACGUUUUCCUUAAUUCGGAUGAAGAUCCAAAAUAUAUCAGUGGCGACUUUCCAGAACAUUACUUGGCCAAUGGUGCAGUUGGAAGCAGAAUUCAUUUGGGAACCAUAUCUGGAAUUGGGAGCACCCCAGAUGAAGGUUGUUGUUAUGUCUACAACAGCAAUGGUGACAAGACCCAUGCAAUCAUGAAACAUAGAACAUUGCUGGUGAAGCAUAUGCACUGGUAUGAAAUCGGUGACAGAGUUUCACUUUGUGAGUGUAGAUGCACUAGGGCACGUUUACCACCAAGCAAUUAUACAGGUUUUGGCUAUUUGAACCUCGCUCUGGCUUCCAUGACAUAGGGGGUUGGUAUGUUGAAACAUAUGGUAAAGAUAAGAAGGGUCAUACAAUACCAUCACAAAGGUUGUGGGAUGGCUUGGACAAUGGCGAGCAAGCUGACAGAAUUGUGUCCUAACCAAGUACUUGCCAAUGGAGUGUAUUGAUUGUUGAUUAUGCAAUAUGCAAUAUGCAGAAGACUUCAUCCAGCUAUGUAUUUGUUUGCUCUUGCAUAUCGGACACUCGAUAUUGAAUAUGCCAAAGCAAACAAGAAGACCUUCAGGCAUGUUGUUGGAGCACAAAUGUUCAAAAUUCUUCAUUGGUGUAGGAAACUUGUUUAAUAUGGUAUAUUGGGCCUAUCGCACAAUCAACCAUUUUAUUAUACUCUAUUGAUACACCAAUUUGGGACAAAGCAACAGAGCUUCACUGAUCUCUAGUUCGUGAAAUCAUUGGAUCAAGGACUGCUUGAUGGGUGCUCUUUCAAUAUUUGAGGAAUUCAUAUCAUGCUUGAGCUAUUUUGCUUGACAUUGAACGUGAAAAACAUGUCAUCUGUUUUUCCUUUUCCUCAAAAAUGAGCUGCAAUCGGAAUCUUUGCAAAUGAAUAUCAUUCAAUGUUUCUAGUUGGUUAGAUCAGUAUAAUGGAAGCAAAUAGUUUUGCUUUGCAAUGAAUUUGUCCCCUGCACUGGAAUCAAUUGUCAUUAGAGCAGCACUCUCCUCAGAUCGACUUAGCUACCAUAACUCACGGCAUAUCAAGAACAAUCUUCUCAUGCUUGCAGAAUUGUCCAAGCGGGGCUUGUACUUGUGUAUCUGUAUAUUUUCAAAAAUGGCUCAGGAACUUAAUCAUUGGCAUGGUAGUUUAAAACUUGUUCUAUUGCAUCUGAGGCAAACAACAUAAAGGUCAUGCAUGACUACAAGAGGGAGCUCCAACCAAGCUAAACUUUGAAUCCAUUGUGUCU